rnacentral:lncRNA from 1 species
CUCUUUUCUAUCUUUUUUUAGCGUCACCUACAAUCAACAACUGCUCAGGAGAAAUCCUGCAUCCAGACAGAGAUGGCGGUGAUGGUGGAGGAGAGUAGACAAGGGUUACCUAUUAACCCCACCUCAAGGCCUCUAGACCAACCAGACCGCAGCCUAACUAGCAUCUACUUAGCAAGAGACAAUCAGCAAAACAGUAAAUCUAGCCCUGAUCUGCAACAUUUGCCAGUUUCCCAGGCAUCUGCCCCAAGCAAGCUCUCAUGUCCUUGGAUACAACAUUUACGCAGCUUUGAAAACACAAGAUGAUUUUAAGGAGGAGACGCUAACAACCGGGAGAUUGGGAAAGGCUUCCUGUAGAAGGUGGCACCUAGCUCGAUCUUUGAUGGAAGCUAAGGAUUCUGAGAGGCACAAAUGAAGAGAAAGAGAAACACUGAGGAACAAGACGGAAUGCCCAAUUUGGAAGGCAACAAAUAGGCCAGUUUGGCUUCAGUGUAGAGUAAUAUCAAAUCUGGAAAACCAGACUGUGGUAAGUUUUAAAUGCCAAGCUGAGGAGUUUGUAUUUCAUCCUACAGGCAAAGGGAAACAUGUGAAGAUGGCCUUCCAACAAAUAAGACCCCCCCCCGAUGUUAAUUUUCUGAAGAUAUGGAAUGUCUUCCAAACUAAAGCCUUCCUACAUUGAUUACAUUCAGCUUUCUCCAUAGUACAAAUUCUCUGACGGUAAACAAAGUAUGAACAUUGAUUCAAAGUUUCCCCAUUUAUCUUUAGAGGAUUUCUCUCAUUCAUGGAGUACUUUACAGAAACCAGAUGAGACAGUGGCCUAGAACUCAGGGGUAGGGAUCGGCAUAUGCAUAAUUCUAAAGUAACUACUGGGAAUCAGAAGUGAUGUAUAAGAAAAGCAUUUAUCUUAGUGAAGAGAAUUGGAACCUCCCUUUCUCUCAUCCUGCUGGUAAGAAAACUCACUGUAUGAAAAUUUGAACUUUGAGAACUAAUAAAGUGGGAGAAGCUUAUUCUCA